rnacentral:rRNA from 1 species
GACGAACGCUGGCGGCGUGCUUAACACAUGCAAGUCGAACGGAAAGGCCCUGCUUUUGUGGGGUGCUCGAGUGGCGAACGGGUGAGUAACACGUGAGUAACCUGCCCUUGACUUUGGGAUAACUUCAGGAAACUGGGGCUAAUACCGGAUAGGAGCUCCUGCUGCAUGGUGGGGGUUGGAAAGUUUCGGCGGUUGGGGAUGGACUCGCGGCUUAUCAGCUUGUUGGUGGGGUAGUGGCUUACCAAGGCUUUGACGGGUAGCCGGCCUGAGAGGGUGACCGGCCACAUUGGGACUGAGAUACGGCCCAGACUCCUACGGGAGGCAGCAGGGGGGAAUAUUGCACAAUGGGCGGAAGCCUGAUGCAGCAACGCCGCGUGCGGGAUGACGGCCUUCGGGUUGUAAACCGCUUUCGCCUGUGACGAAGCGUGAGUGACGGUAAUGGGUAAAGAAGCCCCGGCUAACUACGUG